rnacentral:rRNA from 1 species
GAAGGGGGCUAGCGUUGUUCGGAAUUACUGGGCGUAAAGCGCGUGUAGGCGGUUGUUCAAGUCGGGUGUGAAAGCCUUGAGCUCAACUCAAGAAAUGCACUCGGUACUGGAUGACUAGAGGACCGGAGAGGAUAGUGGAAUUCCCAGUGUAGUGGUGAAAUACGUAGAGAUUGGGAAGAACACCAGUGGCGAAGGCGGCUAUCUGGACGGUUUCUGACGCUUANACGCGAAAGCGUGGGGAGCAAACAGGAUUAGAUACCCUGGUAGUCCACGCCGUAAACGAUGGGUGCUAGACGUUGGCGGGCUUGCUCGUCAGUGUCGCAGCUAACGCGUUAAGCACCCCGCCUGGGGAGU